AAAGGCAGAAAACUGUCACACAAAGGCCAGAGCACCGUAGGGCAUUAGGACAAUCACCCAGAGCCAUCGCUUUUCUACUUACUUAUUUUUGGUCUUUUUGAGGCAGGGUCUCCCUGUAGCCCCAGCUGGCCUGGAACUUGCUACAUAGACCAGGCUGGCCUCGAACUCACAAAGAUCUGCCUGCUUUUGCCUCCCAAGUGCUGGGAUUAAAGGCGUGGGCUUCCAUGCCUGGCUCUAGAGCCAUCACUUCUAACUGGAAGGACAGACCCCAGCCAGUUCCACUGUCCGAACCACUGUCUAUUCCAGCCCCUGGACCCCACCUGACCUCUGAGCUGUGACUUCAGGACAGUGUGAAAAAGUUUGGGCUGAGGAUGUAGCUUGGCUGGUACAGUGCUUGAGCCCUGCGUGGAGCCCCAGGUUCCAUUUCCAGCACUGCGCAAUCUGGGCAUGGUGGUGCAUGCCUGUAAUCCCAGCACUCAGGAGGUGAAGGCAGAUCAGGAGGCCCAGGUCAUCCUCAGAUGUACAGCAAGUUUGAGGCCAACCUGGGUUACAUAAGAACCCUAUUUCUAAAAUAUAUGUAUUUUACUGAUCUCAAGUUCCAGGCUGACUAGACGUGCAAUAUUUUUAUCUGCUAAGUAUAAGCCAGGGGCUACACUGAGCCCUGGGCACUUGGGAUGUCAGGCCUUUCCCCAAGAUGGUAUUCCAUCCCAACAGUGGUGAGUUGGUUUGGGGGCUGCUGUAGGAAGCGUGCUGGGAACUCUAUAGUGGAAACACCAAGUUUUCCCUGCCAGGAAGAGAGAAGUGAUCUGAUGUCACUGGGCUGCGCAGGGGGAAGCCACAGGGCACAGUCUGCCAUGGCUUUGAGUGAAGCCUUGGAAUGGAAGCAUCUAGAAUCAGGAGGCGACCCCUGGGACAGGCCCACAUCCAGCCCUCCUCCCUCCUUCAGGGGCCAGUGGUCCUCCCCAGCCUGAAACCUAAACCUGAUUUAAAAAAAAAAAAAAAAAAAAAAAAAGCACCAGGCAGCCCAUUUCCUGCAGGGGGCCCAGGCCAAGGCAUGUGCUCAAGACCCAAAAAGCCCUGGGGAUCCCCCAGACAAGCAGGUUGGGGUGAAAAAAGGAGCCCUGAGGCUCACCCAUCCCCCACCCCAGACUCCUCUCCUCCACCUCACCCUCAGAAAGAAAGCUGGGGAGAGACUUCCCCCAGAGCACCCUCCCUGUAUCCCGACCCAUGGGCCUGAAGCUGUGGUUUCCCAGCCCUCUUUAAUUUCUAACUCUCUCUCCUCAAGGACGGAUGAGACCUUGAUCAAGGACCUGGAAAAGCAAGGUGUGUAGGAGAGCCAUCAGGCCGUGCUGUGAGCUGCUGGCAUAGCCACAAAUAGCCUGGAGGACGGGGCCCGAGGAUACCCUCGUGUGCCAAGUUCCUGGUGUUGCUGGGGUCCCCAGAAUUCCCAGAAUCCUGCAGGGACUGUCAGGUCUCUGCAUGUCUGAGCCUGUAUACCCUUGAGAGGCCAGGGCUUUGGCCAGGGUAGUUGAGACAGGAGGGUGGGUGUGGCAGGCAGCUCCGGCAGGCAGCUCCAGCAGGCUGGAACCCUCCAGAGCUGGCUUGAGGGGAGGAGGUGAUGGUUCUGGGUUGCCCUGGUAACCCUGGCUUCCUUUGCAACUUUGAAACAUGUAUUUUGUUUGGAAACUGGUCUAAAGGUCACUCUGAGAUGUUCCAGGGCAGAAGGAGUAGGUGACAUACCCCUUCCCCAAUCCUCCCUCUGUGGUCAGAGACCUGGUAGUGACAGACCCUGACUCAAGUCACCGAAGCUGAAAGACAGCUGGUGGGCCACCCCGCCUUCCCCAGCCUGUUUGCCCACCUGUUCAACAGCUGAGCAUGCAACCAUGCCUGGCUCAGGCUGCACCACCGGCACCCUCCCCAGCCGGGUGAACACUACCUGUGAGCUACGAGCAGAAAUGGGUGAGCGAUGAUGUUCAGUCAGCUCGAGGGGCCUGCUAGCAUUGUAACGGAGGCUUCCAGGGCAGGCUGGGGAGGCCAACACCAGGAAAGACUCUGUCCUCCAUGCUGACAGGCAGACCAAACGCCAAGAGCCUGUGGCUUUCAAUCAGAAAAGCGGCCAGCUAAAGCGGGGAGGGGGUGAGACCUCAGGGAAUGGGGCACUUGGCCGCUUACCCCCUUGUCCCUGAGACAAUCAGAGCCAUUCUAGGUAGGAGAAGGAACACUGGGCUGGCUGCCCCAGCAAAGUGACCCUCUGCCUUCUACCCUAGGGAAAGACAAAAAGGUAAGGGGCUAAGGAAGGUGAGGUGGGGGGGGUGUUCCCCCAAGGAGUCAGAGGUUCGAAAUGAACCUACUCUUCAAAGUGCCAUCAGCCAGGUAUGGUGCUGCACGCCUUUAGUAGCAGCACUCUGGAGGCAAAGGCAGAUGAAUCUCUGUGAGAUAGAGGCCAGCCUCGUGGGAGACCGUCUCAAAAAGACCAAACCAAACAAAAACCUUACCAUCAGCCAUGGCCGGACAGGUAAGUGUUUAACGUGACCAAAAGGGAUACGGAUCGUCUAUGGGGCUAUGCUAAGAAAGUCAACCACCCACAUUUCUCAAGGCAUGUAUACAAGGAGAGAGGGCACCCAGACGGGGCUAGCCUCCUCAUAUAAGGCAUCAAAGAAGAGCCUCAGUGAGAUUUCCAACCUUCUCACUAAAACCAAAACUGCUGCCCAGUGCUGCAGAGAGGGGUGAGGGGGCUGCUGCCACCCUAGGAAGGAGCUUGUGGUUCCUGAAGUCUGCUUCUGAGAAAGUUAGCUUAGCGCCCCACCCCCCUCGCCUUUACACUUGUGCAUGAAUGUUCCCCAAACCUUCCCUGCUGUAACUCCCAACUUAGAGCAGCCCAUGUAUAGUAGUCACCAACUGGUGACUACAAAGGGCCUAGGGUCCAUCAUACGGUGGGACCCUCGAGGAAAAGACAGAUCCACAGAAGAGCACAUCCAGGACCAAACAGCCAGCCCCUUCGGACUGCGUAAAAGCAGAAUUCAAAGUUCGUUCAAGGCAGCUCAGUCCUGGAACUGGAAGGGGCAGGAGGGGCCACAAAGGAUCCCAGGACCCUCUGGAAUAGAUCUGAUGGUGGGUAUGGUUUCACAGGAUAUACAUGUUCACUGUGUGGCUGGCAGUGAUCUGACAAGGCACACACAUCUUGUCUACAGAUCCACAGGUUAGGAUAAUCUACAAAAACGAUGGAACAUGCACACCAAUUUUUAAAAAAAUCUCAGAGACAAAAACCAAAACAACAAUAACAAAAAAUCACCAGCCUGAGGUCCAUGGAGAUACGGAGGGGCACAGGAUGAGGCCUAGGCAGGUUAGGGUGGCCUGGCCUCUAGGUGUGUCAUGUCUGAGCUGGGUGACCUCAGGCCCAUCUUGGCCUCCUCUAUCCUGAUCCUCAUUUGUAAUUAGGGGACGUUCAUGCGCAGAGGCCACCGUAUUUAGCUCUCAACAGAGCUGAGGACACGAUCCAUGCUGGGUCUUAGACCAUCAGAAUCUGAAAACACCUCUGCCCCAAGUUCCCCUUUGGGAGGCAGCUCUGCCACCUGCUCCUGCAGCCUCAGAGACCUCUUGCUUAGGGGUGGUGGUGGGAGGCGCCCAGGUGGUGUGUCCAGAUUCCUGGUGCACUGUUCCAGGGAACAGAAGGGUGCAUUCAUAACUCUAUACAGGAUUAUGUUGCUUCCUCCUUCCUGGGGACUAACACAUAACAGACUCAAACUUUAACAACAGGAGGAGCUGCCAGGCACGCUGGGUCCCUGCCCGGCCGGUCUUGCAGUUUCUCAGAAGUGACUGAAAGGGAACAGGCCUGGGGCAGCAUUCUACUCUGACCUAGCUGCUAACUGCCUGCUGCCUGCUCUCGGCCUCAGACUCAGACGAGGGCUUCCCCAUUGCUACACACACACACCUCGCAUCAAGGGAGGGGCAGGAUUCCUGUCACCCUAGUUGGCCACCCAGAGUGGUCAACUCCCCACACCCCCCCAUGUUCCAGGAGCCUGACUCUCACGGGCUAGUUCCUUUAAGUGACAGUUCCUUUUGUGCCUCUAGGGCAGAACCAAAGGCAGGGGACAGACUGGGGGGCUGGGCCUGCUCAAAGCCUUCUAGGUACCCGGUGUACGCAGGAAACUAUGCCAGAAAGCACCUGCCCACCUCAGUAACUGGGGGCCUAAAAACCUUCCCUGGGGCUCCAGGAGACAGUGGAGGGAGGGAAGAAGGCCUUUCCAGGGUCAGCUUGGAUAAGCCAGAGGAAAGAGGCUUCAUCCAGGCUGCUUUCAGGAGCUGGGGGCACCGGUGAGGUGAGGGUGCUGAUGGAGGGAGGGGACGUGGGGUGCUGCCCUUCCAACCUGGGUCCCUGCAGGUUAACCCCGUGCCCUCAGGCACCACAGGAAGACAGUGCCUGGUCUGGGAUUGGGAGGACAAGGUCAGAUUCCUCUCUGGGGGACCCAGGACCUGCUCAGGCCUUCCCAGGAAGCCAGGACUCGCAGCCCACCGGAGGAGGCUCAGGAAGGAAGGAACUGGAGGGAAGGGCAGGAAUCUUCAUCUUGGCCAGGAAGCGCAGCUCCUUUCACAAGGCCUCCUCGACUCAGGAAGCCACUGUCCCAGUGUCUAAAAAUAAGUGAAGGGGCAAAAGCCUAGCCUUGGGGCCCUGCUGAUGGCCAGGGGUGCAAGGGGCCUGGAAGUGGUCACAGGCUUUAGAGGACUGGGUCACCCCAGCCAGGUCUGUUCCAGGGACAGGUUUCUCGCCUCCUUCUCGGGCAGGAAAGUUGGGAGGGACCUUCCCCCUUGGCCCACACCUGCCCUCCUCUAGUUAGCCCGCUGCCCCAUGAAGCCCUGAAGGGAGACUAUGUGGAUCCAGAUGGCCACAGUGACCUGUUAGAUAUGAGUACAGCAGGGGGCUGCAGGGAAACAGGGCCUCCUGGAGUUCUGUGCUUCAGAGAACGUUUCAGAGGGCCCGGCAUGGUGGGAGGGUGAAGGGAGGCAAGGGGCAGAGUGGGUAGAGGAGUCCUGUACGGCUCAGGUGUUACCACCAGCCACACUAGGCAGCCGCAUCUGCUCCCAGCUGGGCAUGGCCCCAGUCCAAGGGGCUUUGAGGCUGCCGGCUCUCUAGCCCGCCCCACUCCACUGCUUCCCCACUCGGUGGCUUGGUCGCUUAGAAACCUCAGUUCCCUUAUCGACCUGGAUGAGCCGUUAUCAUGGGCUCCAGGGCACAGGAGAAGCCUGUUCCCAGAGGCUGAGGCCAUGGGGUGGGUCCUUUAGUGAAGCCGUCAAAGUUACAGUAUGUUUGGCACACACCAUAGCCUCUGGCAAGCCUGGGCCCCACUCAAGCUCAGGGCUGGGGCCCUAAGAGAGCAGGUGGCUUGGGUUUCCUCACCCCGACAACCUGCCACACCGGGCACCUGGAAGCCUCAUUGGGCGUUCACCGUUAGCUGUAGUGCAGAGCCAACUCUGAUGGCUAACAGGUGACGACAGCAUGGGUAACAGGCCACGAUGCCAGACCCACCGAGAAGGCGAUGAUGACCCUUCAGAUGGGAGGCACAGAGCGAUCUGGGAGAUAGGAUACCACAGGGAAGCACAGGGUGUCUGGGGCCCUAUUGCCCAGUGUCUCAUCCCCAGGCUGACUGGCUCCCACCGCCAGCCUCCAGCAUCUGGCCCCUAUACCUAUACCUAGGCUGUCUGGACCCCACAUCUGGGAUCUGUUGGUUCCUUUCCUGGAGUACCAAUUUACGGUGCUUUGGGGCUCCAAAACUCUGGGCACCCUUAGUUCUAAUGCACCUCCCUGCACUCCCAGCCCCUGCAGCCCUCACAGGGCCCCACAUGCAGGAAGGCAGCUACCCUCUCCCAGCACCCCUUGUAGCUAUGUUGGCAGACAGCUCAGGAGGCCCACCACUGGCUGAUCACUAACUAGCCCCUUGGAAACCAGCUCCCAAAAAUUUGGGGCCCAUGCAGAGGACUCUCAGAUGUUUUUUAGGGAUGUUGCUUGGGACUUGCAGUUGGCUGGUGGAGCACUUAGGCUCGACCCAGAAAAGAGUGAGCCUGUGAGUGUGUGCAUGCAUGCGUGCGUGCGUGUAUGUGUGUAUAGGGGAGCUACUAGGGUCACAGGCAGUCAACAGGUUCCUGGAAGACCACUGACAUGCUAGGUUACAGUGCAUCCUUCUGGACGGGUGAAGGCCACUGGGGGCCAAUUCUGAGACUCCAGCAAAAGUCUCAGAACAAAGUUGGCCACAGGGUCACCCAGUACUGUGUCCUAGCCAGUUCCCUGGUGUCAAGGCCAGCCCUGCCCCACCCUAUCCCCCACCAGAACCCUCUCCAAACAUCAGGCCUGUGCAAGGGUGACUGCCUGCUCCCUCCUGCCUGCUCCCUGGGGCACCUGGACUCUAAGCCUAUUGAUCUUGUGAUUGGGGCACCAUCCUUUGGCAGGCCUUCAGGUGCUGGAAUCAAGGCUGACAGAGGGCGGCUCAGAAGCUGGUAACUCCAAUUCUGGAGGCAGGACUUGAGCUAAGGUGGGGGUGCAGGGAGAAAGCCAGAAGGAAUGAGGUGGGGGGCUCUUAGUGGAAGGGUACAGCAUGUGGGCACCGGAGCAGAGCUUGCAAGGGGCUUCCAAGACUCCCAGAAUGCCCUACUUUUUUGCUCCAGCGCCAUGCCCCUCACUGCUCAGACAUCCUCAUCUAGGCCAGCGCAGGGACAAACCACAGACUUCCUCUCAGGCAGCCCAGUCCAAUGGUAGUCUCCCCAAAUCUGGGCAACCAGGGGAAGUCUGCUCGCCCACUGGUGAAAACGGGCACAGGAAGUCCUCAGCCCACCCUGAGCUUGCCAGGAUUGCAGCCCCUCUUCCGGAAGGAAGAUUGUAGACCACUAGGUGACAGACAGUCAUGUGCAGUCUGGAGAAUUAAAUGCCAGUGAGGAGGCUGUAAUCAGCCGUUCUCAGUGGGUCUGGCUUCCUGGGCCACUGGAAGCCUUAGGCUGGAGGGGCAGCCAGUCCUGGGCAGGGAACAUAGCCUUCAUCCCAGCAGGGACUCAUGGCAGCCCUCCCCGGCUCCCGGGGCCAGCCAGCUGGGUGGACAUCCGUUAUCACACCCAUUUCACAGAUAAAGGAAGCAAGGCUCCUGCAGUCCAGGCUGGUCACCUACCCCAGGGUAGGUGUGUAGAUAAGCCAGGAUAAAUAACACCUGCUCUUCUGACCUGUUCCCAGCAACAGGAAACAGAGGGACUGGCCCCCUGUACCCCAGACCCAUCCCAAGGGGCAGGUGUCCAGGCUGCUGGUAAAGGCGCCUGUGCAGUCUCCUGCCGAGGCCGCCUGCUGCUUCCUGCCUUGUCUCCUGACUCACACAGCCUGGGAGUUCGAGACUGCUGGGCUCAAAGUCAGCUCUUGAGCAGUAUUGAUAAGCCAGUCUUUCUGGGGAGCAGAAUGUGGGAACUUUUCUGGGGUGUCCCCUCCCACAGGAAAGCCACUCUCAUCUCAAAAAUGAAACUUAAGUGUCCUUCCAGACAUCCAUCAUCAGCCUGUUCCCACCUCCAGCCUCCCUGAGCUCCUAGCUGCCCCAAUACCCACCAUGGGCCCUACAGGGCCUCCCAGCCCCCUCCCAGAGGCUGCCCAUACACCACUGCCCAGCUUCCUUGGCCCGGCUCCCUGUGGAACAUCAUGCCCAGCAUCCAUUUCCUGAGCCUUCCCUGUGCCAAGCCCCUUGCUCCACACUCUUAGCUAGUCUGUUUGCAAUCCUAGGAGACAGGGACCUCGAGAACUCCUAGAUCAGAGGGAGGAAGUGGAGGUUGAGGGCCAGAACAGUAGGGUGGGGGCCUCCCCAGAGGUCCAACUCCGUAGCAUCUAGGGUAUUUUCAGCCACAGGGCAAGCCUUGCUAGAGGGGGUGCAAAGAGUGUCCCCUCUGCCAGGACAGGUGCACCUGGGUGUUCCGCAUCCCUGGUCACUGUGGGGCCAGCAGGAGUGGGGAAAUCUGUGAGACUGCAAGAACAUGGUUUUCACUGUUCCGCGCUGGGUGGGCCCCUGGGAGCAGGGAGAGGCCAUCAAGAGGUUUCUUGGAGCCUCAACAGAGACCACCCCCAGGGACAUACUGGGGCUCCACCCCAGCUGCCUAGGAAACAACCAACCUCAUCCAACCCCAGCUCCCCAGGGAGGCGGGGGGUGGGGGGGCUACCAGCUGGGGCAGGUGGGUGAGACACCCACCUUCAGCUCCCUAUAGAGUCCUUACAGCCCACAUCUGGGGCUCAAGGACCAACGGAGGAACUCCCGGGGUGUGCGUUUAAUGUCUUGCCUCGGCCACAGCAGGUAAACACUGAUCAACAUGGCCAUCCAGUCACGGUUCUCAGGACAUGCUGGGGCAGGACAAGGUUACAGCUAUCACCCAUGCUGCUCCCUGGAGUCUGGGAAACUGCCAACCAGUGUCCCUCCAGCAGGCCACACAGCACUGCCUGGCUGGGGAGGUGGGUUGUGUCACUGUGGACUGCCUACCCCCAACAUCUCAUUCCCUAUACCCGCCCACCCUGGGAUCCUCAGCAAUCCAGAUGGAAAACAGAUGUCUACCAUCCCACACACUCACUCUAGGGGCCAUCUUAAAGUUUGCCCUCCCAGCCUCAACUUUAGAGACACUGCCUGGGCAUGACCCCAUUCCUCCCUGGCAAAAAACGAAAGGAGGUAAGGAAGACAGGCUGGGCAGUGCAGGGGGGCAGGGUGGAAGCACCAUCCAGAGGAGUGCCCAGCACCACCCACUCAGUCCCUGCAGGCAGGCCUGGAAGACUCUCUACCCCUCCGCAAUUCCAGCCUGGGCAGGAAAUGGAAACAAAAAGUCACACCACCAUAGGUCACUCUCCAGCAGCCAAGAGUCAGGACAAAGUACCUCCCAGCUCAGGGACCCCGGACACCCUCCUACAUCUCUCUGCACCCCCAAAUGACAAAAUGAGUGUGCACCUCGUUCCAAAGUCUGGACCUCCUACAUCUCAAAGAAACCAAGCCCCUGAUGUCUACAGACCCUUCCCAUCUUUGGCUUACCCUUGCCUGUGCCAACUCAGAACUGUAUGCCCCAAUGCCUCAUUCCCCUCGAAGCCUCCAAAGGCCCCGGCUGUGUUGUCUGCCUGCAAUGAGGAAGGACAGCUCGGCCCCCGGGAACCAGGGCAUGCUGCGCACCAGCAUUGGGGCCACCCUGUCCUUCCCUAGGCCUGGAGCCCGACCCCCAUGAUGGUUCCAGGGUGGCGAUACCAGGCUAGAGGGUGACCAAGGAUGGGUUAAGAGUGGGGUGGAUAUACCCAAAGCUUGGAUAGAGCGUGCCCCCCCCAACUUCCAGGCCCAUCCAGGGGCGGUGGUUAAGAUGAGCUCAUGGGGGCGGGGCACCGAGAGCCCCGCCUUUGAGCCCCUCGGUGUUGGCGAAGCAGGAUGAGCCCCAAAACAGGAUCAGGAGGGCUGCCUGGACCCCUGCACGGAUGAGGGCUCCGGGGUAUGUGGCUCUGGCCCCCUUGCAACGGCCACCCAUGCCCCUGACACCCGGACCCUGUGAGCUCAUCGUGCGGAGGCCCGAAGCCCAGGGAAAUAACCACAGGAUGGAACUGGGGACCUGUGAGCUCACAGUGAGACGGAUCAGACCUGAAACUCCAUGGAUCUUCUAUCCAAUGCGACCAGCUGCUUCUGGUUCUAGCUCCCUUGACUCCCUACUGUUCUGGGCUGCACCUUGAACUGAGAAUCUUCUGUUCCAUCCGAGCCCUCAUCAGCCCAGUCUUGACCGUCCACAUUUCCACCGGCAUUCUAAUCAUGACUGCUUAGGUAGACUCUAAAGUGUCCUAGUUCUUCCCUGAUCUGUCUUCCGCACCCUCACUGGAAUCACCCACAAUGCUCCACUCACAAUGGGGGUUGGACUUCAACACUUAACGCUGAGCUCUGCAUCCAAACCAAAGCACCACAUGUGCGUG